CAUCUACUUCUCAGACUUCUUAACCACAAACAAAGAGUGAGCGGAGCAACAACUUGAGGCUGCAUGGGAGAAUGGAGAUCCUUUGCGGCUCAUAAAGUCCCUUCUACAAAUCAGUUAUAUUCGAUGUGAGACUUUAAUGUUGUACACAGCCUUUACCAAAAGUGUCAUGGACUUUGAAGAUGCUCAGACUCAGGACGCAAGGGAGAAACAUGCUAAGAGGAAGGUACGAUUGGCAAACCCUCACUGUGAUUCAACUCCCGCCCAGAAACCUAUGUCCCCCACUGUGGAAGGAUGUGUGGAUCAAGAAUUGGCUUCCACAGACUCUUAACACAACACACAAAGUUAUGAAAGAUUUCCCUUCUCCCCUGCAUACAAGCACAGGCAAGACUUCAUGAAAUGUGUUUGAUUUCUCAGAAUUUUAAUUCUGGUGCGUCUGAAGCAAAACAGCAAGACAGAAACUUGGAAAAAUCAAGCUGGCAAACCUUCUUUGAAAUCAAUUAUUGCAAGAAUAGACUGGGGGUUUUUUGUUUGCUGUAUUGAAUAAAUCUGUUAGACACACAAGAUGGAUUAAUUCAAGUGAAAGUUCUAAUCUGGCUAGUAAAAUAAAAAUAUUUACAUAUCAAGUCUC